UUGGAGGGCAAGUCUGGUGCCAGCAGCCGCGGUAAUUCCAGCUCCAAUAGCGUAUAUUAAAGUUGUUGCAGUUAAAAAGCUCGUAGUUGAAUUUCGGGAUCAAAUUGUCGGUCGUGCCUCGGUACGCACUGGUAUUAUUGGUUCCUACCUUCUGAAGAACCGCGAUGUCAUUAAUUUGGUGUCGUGGGGAAUCAGGACUGUUACUUUGAAAAAAUUAGAGUGUUUAAAGCAGGCUUACGCUUGAAUACAUUAGCAUGGAAUAGUGAAAUAGGACGUUUGAUUCUAUUUUGUUGGUUUCUAGGAUUGACGUAAUGAUUAAUAGGGAUAGUUGGGGGCAUUAGUAUUCAAUUGUCAGAGGUGAAAUUCUUGGAUUUAUUGAAGACUAACUACUGCGAAAGCAUUUGCCAAGGAUGUUUUCAUUAAUCAAGAACGAAAGUUAGGGGAUCGAAGACGAUCAGAUACCGUCGUAGUCUUAACCAUAAACUAUGCCGACUAGGGAUCGGAUGAUGUUAAUUUUUUAAUGACUCAUUCGGCGCCUUACGGGAAAC
rnacentral:rRNA from 1 species